rnacentral:rRNA from 1 species
GUCUACGGCCAUAUCACGUUGAAAACACCGGUUCUCGCCCGAUCACCGAAGUUAAGCAACGUCGAGCCCGGUUAGUACUUGGAUGGGUGACCGCCUGGGAGUACCGGGUGCUGUAGGCUU